rnacentral:tRNA from 1 species
GGAUCAGUGGCACAGUGGUUAAAGCGCCUGGCUGCUAACCAGCAGAUUGGUGGUUCUAACCCUCCAGCCA